GCCACCACAUCCUCCCAUUGAGUGAAGUUGUUCUCAGGAAAAGAUUUCAACCAUACUUUAGCAUCACCUCCAAGAGAAAAGGGGAAUAGGCUCAGUUUGAUAGCCUCAUCAGGAACCCCAUUUAUUUUCACAAUGUUGCAGAUCUCAUCAAAGGUGGCCAAAUGAUCAUAUGGACUUUCAUGAGAUAGUCCAUUGAAUUAGUUGCUCUUCACCAGUUGAAUUAGAGCAGGCUUCAUCUCCAUUUUUGCAGCAUUGACCUUUGGCCUUGCAAUGCUGUUAAAGUGAUGUGGGCCAACAACUGUGGUGUAAUCUACCAAGGUACGUCUAGCACGACUUUCUCCUUCACCGGUUUGGGAAGCCAUUGUGUUGUUCUCUAGAGAAGGUUUUCUAGAUGAUUUGUUUGUCCUUGACCUUCUGCUGGUCUUAAGCCCUUUAAGAAGAGGUUCAGAAUUUCUGCUCCGGGUACAAUCCUGCAUAAACAGACACAAAAUCUAGAAAAUAUUGUUAGCACAAAAAUAAAAUAAAAUGAAAUAAAACAAAAAUGGAAAUUAGGGAUUUGAAAAAAAAAUAAAAAUGGGAAAAAUAAAAUAAAAUAAAAUAAAGCCAAAAUUAAUUGAGAUUCACGCAAAUAGAAUAGCUUAAACCGUGAGUCCCCGACAACGGCGCCAAAAACUUGUUAGGGCAAAUCGGCAUGUGUACCAAGUUGCACAAGUAAUAUAAAAUGGUAAGACCAAGUAUCGUAUCCCAG
rnacentral:lncRNA from 1 species